UUUGUUAGGUGCUAUUGCAACAAAAUAAAGAGCAUAGGAUGCACAUAAAGUGCCCAUAUUACACUUAAAAAAAGUGCUAAAUAGCACUAAAAGGGUUUUUUUUGGCUCGUAAUCAUAGGGGAGCCACUUUAAGUGCUAUAUAGCACCUAUAUCUUUAAAGAUGGUGCUAUAUAGCACCUUACCACCCAUUACAGGUUCCCGUUUUUUGCUUUUGUUAAUUGUAAAAUAAAUAAAAAGAAAAAGUAGAUAGAAUACAAAAAGAUUAGAGAAGCUAGUGUUUGUGUGUGUGUGUGUGUGUUUUUAUAAAGUAUUUUUAUCAAUGAAAUUCCAAAAGCAUAAUCUGGCAAGGUAAUUUAAUCAACAGGCCAACAACGUUAAAUACAGUAUGCACAAAAAUUAUGAUCCAUAAUUUUUUUCUAGUUAAGUAAAAAAACAAAAAAAAAAAAAACAACCAAACAAAAAAAGUAUAUUUUGUUUUUCAUUCCCAGAGUUGUUAAGCGCUAAAGUAUUGUGCAAAGUAUGCAUACUGUGUAAUACAAUUCAUGCAAUUUCUCCGUAGGCCUAUGUGAAUGAAGGAAAAUGAAGUUUUGUGGUCUGUCUCCUUAAAGAAAAGAGUAAAAUGAGUAGUGCUGUCUGGCAAGUUUUAUUCUUCAUCAGCAGUAUCCUACAUAAACGCAUAAAAACUAAACCGUACAAUUCUACAUUUAAUAAAAAAAAAAAAAAAAAAAAUACUUGCAUGAUUGUGCAAUUAGACUCGACCCUGUUCCCGCCAAUCAUCAUUCACAGAAAGCACGAGGCAGCCGCGAGAGAAGGAAACGAUACAAACAGCGAAGUCAGGUUUAUAGCAACCCCAUCCAUUUUGAGAGGAAGAGUUAUUCAGUUCAUGGAUGUUUUAUUGAUGCCGAGCUACCCAACUAAGCCUGAAGAAACUUCACAUAGGCAAAAGAAGAUUCAUCGCUCCGGAAUAACAGACCUGGAUCUCAAGACCUGUGCUGAGGUAAGACUGUAUCAUCCUCGCUCAACACAACAUUUACAGCUGCUGAAGUGGACCUGAACUCUCUUGUGUGUCUUGACAGAUAUAAAGCUCUUGAGAAAAAGAUUGCAAAGCCUUGAGUUUUUUUAUUUCUUAUUUCUGCAAGGCUUUAUAGCCUGGAGAGAGAGAGAUGACCAGUAGUUUUUGAAGUUGAUGGAUUUUUUGAGCGUUGUUUUGAGUGAUGCAGCUUUUGCCGAUUGUAGUAAUACUUUUUGGUAUUAUAAAUUGAUUUCGUUUAACUGCUGCUGAAGCCUUGAUUGCGACUGGUUCAUGCACAUAGAUGAUUUGUACUGCAUGUUAUCACAAUAUCACUUUGUCAUGUUCUUUUCUAAUUGUUACAAAAGUAAAAUGAACUUCAAAGAGACAUAAAGUGACCUAUAACAAAGCAUCCAGACAGUGGUCGAGCAAAUCUGAUAAAACUGACAAAUUGGCCAAAAGCUGAAAAGGGCUACUGCCAAAAAUUGUGUACAUAUUUAAUAACCUUUCUCAGUGCAGAUGUGGAUUGACUGUAAGAACGGGAGACUGGUGUUGGUUUGGCACAAGGUUAAUUUCAGGUUUUUAAUUGGGUGCUGUCACAAAAAUGUGGAUUUUUACCCUCUUGAUCCACACUCAGCGAUUCUAUCAAGACAUUAGAAAAUUAAAACCUGUCAAGCUGAAGACAUUUUGUCAAAUUUGCUAUGUCAAAACAAAAAUGAACCCC
rnacentral:lncRNA from 1 species